rnacentral:rRNA from 1 species
GACGAACGCUGGCGGCGUGCUUAACACAUGCAAGUCGAACGGAAAGGCCCUGCUUUUGUGGGGUGCCCGAGUGGCGAACGGGUGAGUAACACGUGAGUAACCUGCCCUUGACUUUGGGAUAACUUCAGGAAACUGGGGCUAAUACCGGAUAGGAGCUCCUGCUGCAUGGUGGGGGUUGGAAAGUUUCGGCGGUUGGGGAUGGACUCGCGGCUUAUCAGCUUGUUGGUGGGGUAGUGGCUUACCAAGGCUUUGACGGGUAGCCGGCCUGAGAGGGUGACCGGCCACAUUGGGACUGAGGUACGGCCCAGACUCCUACGGGAGGCAGCAGUGGGGAAUAUUGCACAAUGGGCGGAAGCCUGAUGCAGCAACGCCGCGUGCGGGAUGACGGCCUUCGGGUUGUAAACCGCUUUCGCCUGUGACGAAGCGUGAGUGACGGUAAUGGGUAAAGAAGCACCGGCUAACUACGUG